UUACGGUUUUUCAAAAAUUAAAAGGGAAGGCGGUUAGAGUCCGUCACAACAGCCAUUACUGUAUUUAGCCUAAAAGAAGUAAUAAGCCACUGAGUAAUUGGGAAGGCACUUCGUAAUAUAUGGCUAUAAGUCAGGAGACCUGCCGUAUCUUAUU
rnacentral:ncRNA from 1 species